UGGGGAAUUUUGGACAAUGGGCGAAAGCCUGAUCCAGCAAUGCCGCGUGUGUGAAGAAGGCCUUCGGGUUGUAAAGCACUUUUGUCCGGAAAGAAAUCCUUGGCUCUAAUACAGUCGGGGGAUGACGGUACCGGAAGAAUAAGCACCGGCUAACUACGUGCCAGCAGCCGCGGUAAUACGUAAGGUGCAAGCGUUAAUCGGAAUUACUGGGCGUAAAGCGUGCGCAGGCGGUUUGCUAAGACCGAUGUGAAAUCCCCGGGCUCAACCUGGGAACUGCAUUGGUGACUGGCAGGCUAGAGUAUGGCAGAGGGGGUAGAAUUCCACGUGUAGCAGUGAAAUGCGUAGAGAUGUGGAGGAAUACCGAUGGCGAAGGCAGCCCCUGGGCCAAUACUGACGCUCAUGCACGAAAGCGUGGGGAGCAAACAGGAUUAGAUACCCUGGUAGUCCACGCCCUAAACGAUGUCAACUAGUUGUUGGGGAUUCAUUUCCUUAGUAACGUAGCUAACGCGUGAAGUUGACCGCCUGGGGAGUACGGUCGCAAGAUUAAAACUCAAAGGAAUUGACGGGGUCAUAGCUGUUUCCU
rnacentral:rRNA from 1 species